rnacentral:rRNA from 1 species
GUCUAUGGCCAUGCCACCCUGAGCAAGCCCAAUGUCUGAUCUCAGAAGCUAAGCAGGGUCGGGCCUGGUAGUACUUGGAUGGGAGACCACCUAGGAAGACCAGGUGCUGUAUGCA